CUACGGGAUGCAGCAGUAGGGAAUAUUGCGCAAUGGGCGAAAGCCUGACGCAGCCAUGCCGCGUGCGUGAUGAAGGCCUUCGGGUCGUAAAGCUCUUUUCUGAGGGAAGAACAUCCAGAGGAGGAAAUGUCUCUGGUCUGACGGUACCUCAGGAAUAAGGAACGGCUAACUCCGUGCCAGCAGCCGCGGUAAUACGGAGGUUCCAAGCGUUGUUCGGAAUUACUGGGCGUAAAGGGAGCGCAGGCGGACAGGUCAGUGGAAAGUGGAAUCCCGGGGCUUAACCUCGGACGUGCUUUCCAUACUGCCUGACUUGAGUUCGUGAGAGGAAGGCGGAAUUCAGGGUGUAGCGGUGACAUGCUUAGAUAUCCUGAGGAACACCAGUGGCGAAAGCGGCCUUCUGGCACGAAACUGACGCUGAGGCUCGAAAGCGUGGGUAGCGAACGGGAUUAGAUACCCGGGUAGUC
rnacentral:rRNA from 1 species